GCAACUGCAUUGUUGUGAAAAUUGUGAAUGUUUAAUUUAGUCUUUUUACAUGAUUAUAGGUUUCCUUGAAGUUUCUUGACUGGUGACAUUGUUAUCUAGAUAUGGUCACAUGAAGGCUGAAUUUGAGUUAUUAUAAAGAAGAUAUAUUGGCUCUGAUAGUGAUAAACGGCUAAUACUCAUUUUGUCUACACCUCUUCUUGCCAGAUCUAAAUAGACCUCGCUUUUAUUAUUGUUCCAAUUACAUUGGACAGCUGAUAGAUUUGAAUCUUGACGAGUAGGAAAGUUGGCCAUGGCAACGUGCUAUGCCUUAAUCUGUAUGUAAUCUCCUUAAUGUGUCAAUGGUGAACAUGGAAGAAAGUCUGUUAGCUAUGUCCAAAUAAGGUUCCUCGAAGAUCUGUUUUCAUCAAUCUGAGCUGUAUCCCUUUCAAUUUGAUUUGAACUAUCAAAUUUGGAUAUCAAUUCUCUUCAGCUCAUAGGGGCAGACAAGAUGUGCUUAUCCUUAAUCUUUGGAGAAGCGAAGAAAAAAAAUAUGAUGAUGGUAUUAAAGAAUGCACAAAAGCAUUGGAGCUAAACCUUAACUACAUAAGUGUUUUGCUAAGAAGAGCAGAGGUGUAUGAAAAGUUGUAACAAUUUGAAGAGACUAUAGCAGAUAUGACAAAGGUUUUGGAAGUUGACCCAUCAUAUGAUCAAGCUAGAAGACAGAUUGUUCGCUUGAAGCCAUUAGCAGAUGAAAAACGUCAAAAGAUGAAGGAAGAAAUGAUUGUUGACCAUUGGUGGUAUGAACUUCUUUGGGUAGUUGCUGUUAAAUGAUUCUUUUUUGCUCUUCACGUGUAAAUAUAGGAAUGCUUCAUUUUUGCAAAAGAAAAUGUGUUCUAGGGGAGAAGAGUGGAGGAGGAGGAGAGGAUCUGGAAUUUUUGCAAAAGUAAAAGGAGCUAGUGUGAGCUGAGGUGGCUAGUGCAUUCGGAAGAUUCUGGAGGAAGGGGAAGGUUAAUGUGAGCAGAUAAAGCUUUGCUUCAGGUGCUGCUAAAGAAUAGAUGCUUGUGGAAGUGGACAAACGAUUACUGAGAUUAGCAAAAGGAUGGUUUAAGGGAAAUGUAAGCUGAGGGAAAUUGGAAAUUGCAAUUCUGGUCAAUUUGGAAUGAGCGCUGACAAUUUCAAAGCUGUGAAAGAUCCAAACACUGGUUCAUAUUCUAUUCCAUUUCAGUGCUAAUAUCUUUUACAAACUUCACAUAUAUUCUUUAGUUUCUGGAGCUAUGGAUCAAAUGGACUGAAAUCUUAAAGAGGAUGAAGCACGUUUCCUCACAGUGUUGAUCUCAGUCGUAUGAUUAUGUUUUUACAUAUAACUUGAGAAAAAGAAAUUGAUGUGGUUUUUUGCCAUAAUAUGUUAUAAACAGACUUAAAGUUUCACUUUACUGGAAGUUUCUUAUAGUUGCUUUAGUACUUUCCAUUUCUUCGUGGUGUUGUCCAUGGUUUUGAUACUGUUUUGGAGGGCAUCUGAAGGUGCAGCAUAAUUUAUGCUAUCAACGUCUUUGUCAUGAUCUGUUCGGAGAGUAGCAUAGAAAUGUAGAACCUUGCACGCAAACAGGGAGAGAGUCCACCUCCUCUUCCCACCCAUCCCAAAAAAGGGUAAAUUCUGACUAGAUAUCAUAUCAUAGCCACACUAAAAGUGUGUAAGCUCGGAUGAACACUGAAAUGGUCUGGUUACUCCGUAAUUUUCAUGAACUCUGGGGGUGUUUGUUGGUUGCAUGAUUUUUGGGCGGCUUGGGGAUAUGUGGGCGCAGACAGCCUCAUUGAAUCGGGUGCACACUCCUUCCUUUGCCUUCUCUCUCUCUUCCUUGCUCUUAAUUUCAAUCCUUGCUCUCUUCUAAUUACCACUUUCUUUCCUGCUCUUCUAAUUACCGGACCAAUUUCUCCCCUUCGCUUGCUUACACCUUGCAGCACAACUCAGGAAUCAAGUUAAUUCUUGAAAAAUUGAAACUUGCGGAAGAAAGGCAAAUGGAAGGAAGGGACUCACUUUGGUAUCUCUGAACAGCUAUUCCACUUUGGAUUGGGCAAGGAUGAAUGGACAGUUGAUAAAAGCCAUUUCUCCACGAGUUAUGGAAACAUAUUGAUAUGCAGCAUUACGGUAUCUAGAGUUAAGGCUUCUGGGAUCCCUUCUGAUGAGAAAGUGAAGUUUGCAUAUGCAAUCAACAUAAGAAAGCUAGUCAAGCCACCACUACCAGCAGGAUACUGGGGAAUUCUGACCAAGGCUGAAGACCAUGUCGAUCAACCGAUAUAUAAAACAGCAGAAUUGAUCAACAAGAGCAAAUACAAUGUAUCUGAUGAAUAUGUUCGAUCAUUUAUCGAUUUUCAGGAGCUAAAUUAUCAUGAAGGGACCACAGUAGGAGCAAAGGUGAGUGGAAUUACUGAUUGGAGACACUUAGGCCAUUCCACAGUGGACUUUGGUUGGGGAGGUCCUGUUACAGUUUUUCCUCUGUCAAGAAACCUACUUGGAAGCGUUGAGCCCCGUUUCUUUUUGCCCUAUUCUUCAGCAAAUGAAGGGGAAAAGGAUGGUUGUAAACUUUCUGUGUGUUUGCAAGAACAUGCUGUUUCAGGUUUCAAAGAAGACAUGAAUAAGUUGAAGAAUUUAGAGCCUGGAUUCCUUUGAAUGAAGGGUUUCUUGUUA